UUAAGUUAUUUUUUUUUAUUUUUUAGUAUUGCAUACUAUUGUAGGAAAAUUUUAUAUUAAUAAAAAAUAGAAAUAAAAGGUAGAAUUUUUUUUUCUUUUGUUGUUUCAUAACAAAAAAUAAAAAAAUUAGAGUUGAAAAGUCGUCUUUUAUGAUAUUUGUUUUAUUUUAUUAUUUUAGAAAAUUAUGUUUAUUUGUGUUUUUAGUGUAAUUAUAAAAGUUAAAGUAUUUAUUUUUUAAGUUUUAUAACUUAUUAUUUUUUAUAAUUUGUGAAUUGGUUUUGUUGUUUGUUAAUAUUUUAACAAAUUUAUUAUCUAUAUAUUAGUAGAUUUUUGUUAAGUUGUUUUUAUAUAUAAUAUAAUAAAAGAAUUCAAAAAUUAAUCAAAUGUUUUUUAAAGACUUAGACUUUAUUUUAAAGUUUGCUUCUGCCCAGUGAUAAUUUUUAAAUGGCAGUCUUAGCGUGAGGACAUUAAGGUAGCAAAAUAAUUUGUAUCUUUAUUGGGUUCCAGUAUGAAUGAAGUUAUUGGUUAAUAAUUUUUUUAUUUUGUUAUUGAAUUUUUAUCUGUAUAAAAAAUUAUAGUUAUAAUUAUACAAAGAUAAGUCUUCGGAAAUUCUUUUUAAUCAAAAUUUUUCAUUUUGAUUAAAAUUUUCUAGGGUAGAAUUUUAUAUAAUUUUGUUUUCUAUUAAUAAAUUAAAGAAUUACUCCGGAGUUAACAGAAAAUCAUACCUAAUCUAGAUCUUAUAGUAAGGUAAGUUUUACAUCGAUGUUGUAUUUAAGUAUUUUAAGAAGGGAGAAGAUUUAAAUAUUAAGACUGUUCUUCUUGUAAUUAACUUAACGUGAUAUUAGUUUAAUUC
rnacentral:rRNA from 1 species